UACGGAGGGGGCGAGCGUUAUUCGGAAUUAUUGGGCGUAAAGGGCGCGUAGGCGGCUUGAUGUGUCAAAGGUGAAAUCCCUCGGCUCAACUGAGGAACUGCCUUUGAAACUGUCUGGCUUGAGGCCGGGAGAGGGUAGCGGAAUUCCCAGUGUAGCGGUGAAAUGCGUAGAUACUGGGAGGAACACCGGUGGCGAAGGCGGCUACCUGGACCGGUUCUGACGCUGAUGCGCGAAAGCCAGGGGAGCGAACGGG
rnacentral:rRNA from 1 species